UCCGUAGGUGGAAUUGUAAGUCAGUGGUGAAAUCUUCCGGCUUAACCGGAAAACUGCCAUUGAUACUGCAGUUCUUGAGUAUGCUCGAAGUAGGCGGAAUGUGUCAUGUAGCGGUGAAAUGCAUAGAUAUGACACAGAACACCAAUAGCGAAGGCAGCUUACUAGAUCAUUACUGACACUGAGGGACGAAAGCGUGGGGAGCGAACAGGAUUAGAUACCCUGGUAGUCC
rnacentral:rRNA from 1 species